rnacentral:rRNA from 1 species
GACGAACGCUGGCGGCGUGCCUAAUACAUGCAAGUGGGACGCAAGGGAACACACUGUGCUUGCACACCGUGUUUUCUUGAGUCGCGAACGGGUGAGUAACGCGUAGGUAACCUGCCUAUUAGCGGGGGAUAACUAUUGGAAACGAUAGCUAAUACCGCAUAAUAUUAAUUAUUGCAUGAUAAUUGAUUGAAAGAUGCAAGCGCAUCACUAGUAGAUGGACCUGCGUUGUAUUAGCUAGUUGGUAAGGUAAGAGCUUACCAAGGCGACGAUACAUAGCCGACCUGAGAGGGUGAUCGGCCACACUGGGACUGAGACACGGCCCAGACUCCUACGGGAGGCAGCAGUAGGGAAUCUUCGGCAAUGGACGAAAGUCUGACCGAGCAACGCCGCGUGAGUGAAGAAGGUUUUCGGAUCGUAAAGCUCUGUUGUAAGUCAAGAACGUGUGUGAGAGUGGAAAGUUC